UACAGAGGGUGCUAGCGUUGUUCGGAAUCAUUGGGCGUAAAGGGCGUGUAGGCGGUUUGUUAAGUCAUGUGUGAAAUCCCUCGGCUCAACCGGGGAACGACGCAUGAAACUGGCAAGCUAGAGUACCAAAGAGGGGGGUGGAAUUCCCGGUGUAGGGGUAAAAUCCGUUGAUAUCGGGAAGAACACCAGUGGCGAAGGCGCCUUGCUGGGCCAUCACUGACGCUCAGGGACGAAAGCGUGGGUAGCGAACGGG
rnacentral:rRNA from 1 species